AUCAUUAAUUUUAUUAAAAAAAAUGGUCCAAUGGUAGGUGAAAAAAUGGUACUUUAUCCAGUUUUUUGAGCCUUAAUCAUGUGUAUUUGAUGAUUCUAAGUUUAUAAGUUUGUUUUUUUUUUUGCUUCGUUUGUUCGGUUGUGGUUUGGUAGCCAUAGAUUGAUUGUUUGAUUUUUGAUGGGUACAAUUGGGCAUCUGGGUCUGGUCGGGUUUGUGAGUUGGGAUUUGCAGGGUUUGAUUUAUUGAUCUUCUAAAGUGAUUACUUUUUCUUGAAUAUCAAAUUUACUGGUUUAUUAUUUCAUUGAUUUUUAGGGUUAAUUCAAGAUUAUAGCCAUCUUCAACAUCUGGGCUUCAGCUGCAUUUUUGGGCAAAAAAUAUGUAACAUUGGUGAUGCAGUCAUCGGCUCCUAACCGAGGUUCUCCGUGGGUGUGAAAAGUGUACCAACUGCCAAAAGUCUAAUCUAGAGAAUACUGUGGGUGUGUUAACAAUGGCUGGUAAAAGGUUUUCCGUUUUCGUGGUUUGGUCACUCCCAUCUUGGCUUGCAUGCAUGGUUUAGAAGUAGGCGAUGAGAUGAACUUGGCAGCUGGGAUUUAGGUUGCCCAGUUGGCACAUAAGCAUCGCGAGAACAAAAAAAAACCAACAACAAUGGAUAAUCGUGUUUGCAGGAGGGUUAGGGAAAUUGAGAGAGAAGCACAUGAAGAAGUCGGAACUCUGCCAGAGAAAGAUGCUAAACAAUAUGUUGCCCUUGACUUGAUUUCAAGGCUGAAGAACCAUCGGUUUUACGAUGAUGAUGAUGAUGAUAAUCCAAAAGGUAGUUUCUUUCUUGAAUUCAAGUGAAGAAAUUUUACCCUAUGUUUUUAGAGGUGGCUAAACAUGUUGGUUGAGUAACGGGUUAAAAUGAGUUUGGGUCUAAACAAGUCGGGUCGGGUUUUUUUGAGUUGCCAACUUUUUUUUUUCAUGUUUAUAUUUAGAUUUUAGAUAUGAAUAGCACUUGUAUCAUUAACUUGGUAGCGUAUUUAUUUCAGAUUAUACAGCACCUAGGAUUGCAAGUAUAUAAGGAAAGUUCAAACCUUUAUACUUGACCCGUUAUCAAAUAAAUUCCAACCCAGUUUAACCAGUUUUCAUAUGAACGAUUUAAGAAUUAAGAUUGCCAGUUCGCCAUACCUUGUUAUUGGAGUCCAAUUGUUUCCUGCUUUAUACUUUCAUAGUAUGUGAUACAUGUUAAGAGAAAGAUGUACGCUUUGACAUAUAAAGUCAAAAUAAUUCCUUACAUUUUCAAAUUGAAGAUGGAUUUUGUUACUUAUUUAAUUAUAUAAAUUUCCAAUUA